rnacentral:rRNA from 1 species
GAUGAACGCUGGCGGCGUGCCUAAUACAUGCAAGUAGAACGCUGAAGGAGGAGCUUGCUCUUCUGGAUGAGUUGCGAACGGGUGAGUAACGCGUAGGUAACCUGCCUGGUAGCGGGGGAUAACUAUUGGAAACGAUAGCUAAUACCGCAUGACAACAGUUAUUGCAUGAUAACUGUUUAAAAGGGGCAACUGCUCCACUACCAGAUGGACCUGCGUUGUAUUAGCUAGUUGGUGAGGUAACGGCUCACCAAGGCGACGAUACAUAGCCGACCGGAGAGGGGGAUCGGCCACACUGGGACUGAGACACGGCCCAGACUCCUACGGGAGGCAGCAGUAGGGAAUCUUCGGCAAUGGACGGAAGUCUGACCGAGCAACGCCGCGUGAGUGAAGAAGGUUUUCGGAUCGUAAAGCUCUGUUGUAAGAGAAGAACGAGUGUGAGAGUGGAAAGUUCACACUGUGACGGUAUCUUACCAGAAAGGGACGGCUAACUACGUG